rnacentral:rRNA from 1 species
AUAAACGCUGGCGGCGUGCCUAAAACAUGCAAGUCGAACGGACACUUCGGUGUCAGUGGCGGACGGCUGAGUAACACGUGGGUGACCUGCCCUCGAGCGGGGGAUAACUGCCCGAAAGGGUGGCUAAUACCGCAGAUGUCGCAGAUUCGGUUCUGUGACUGAACUUUCGGGGUUCGGGGAGGGGCCCGCGGUCGAUUAGCUUGUUGGUGGGGUAACGGCCUACCAAGGCUGCGAUCGAUAGCUGGUCUGAGAGGAUGAUCAGCCAGACUGGGACUGCGAACGGCCCAGACUCCUACGGGAGGCAGCAGUUAGGAAUUUUGGGCAAUGGGCGAAAGCCUGACCCAGCAACGCCGCGUGGGUGAUGAAGGCCUUCGGGUCGUAAAGCCCUUUUCCCGGGGAAGAUGAUGACGGUACCCGGGGAAUCAGCCCCGGCUAACUACGU